rnacentral:rRNA from 1 species
AGAGUUUGAUCAUGGCUCAGAUUGAACGCUGGCGGCAUGCCUUACACAUGCAAGUCGAACGGCAGCACGGGGGCAACCCUGGUGGCGAGUGGCGAACGGGUGAGUAAUACAUCGGAACGUGUCCUGUAGUGGGGGAUAGCCCGGCGAAAGCCGGAUUAAUACCGCAUACGCUCUACGGAGGAAAGGGGGGGAUCUUAGGACCUCCCGCUACAGGGGCGGCCGAUGGCAGAUUAGCUAGUUGGUGGGGUAAAGGCCUACCAAGGCGACGAUCUGUAGCUGGUCUGAGAGGACGACCAGCCACACUGGGACUGAGACACGGCCCAGACUCCUACGGGAGGCAGCAGUGGGGAAUUUUGGACAAUGGGGGAAACCCUGAUCCAGCAAUGCCGCGUGUGUGAAGAAGGCCUUCGGGUUGUAAAGCACUUUUGUCCGGAAAGAAAUCCUCUUCGCUAAUACCGAGGGGGGAUGACGGUACCGGAAGAAUAAGCACCGGCUAACUACGUGCCAGCAGCCGCGGUAAUACGUAGGGUGCAAGCGUUAAUCGGAAUUACUGGGCGUAAAGCGUGCGCAGGCGGUUCGCUAAGACAGAUGUGAAAUCCCCGGGCUUAACCUGGGAACUGCAUUUGUGACUGGCGGGCUAGAGUAUGGCAGAGGGGGGUAGAAUUCCACGUAGCAGUGAAAUGCGUAGAGAUGUGGAGGAAUACCGAUGGCGAAGGCAGCCCCCUGGGCCAAUACUGACGCUCAUGCACGAAAGCGUGGGGAGCAAACAGGAUUAGAUACCCCCGUAGUCC